rnacentral:misc_RNA from 1 species
GAAUGGCAAAUUAUUAGUUUACAGCUCUUUACUAAAGCUGAAUUUGAACUUUUAGGUCCAAGAGACAACUAGCUCAAAGUAAACAGACUAGAUCAAGGCGUGACAUAGAACUUUCUUUGGCUACCGAGAAUCCAGAUUUUCUCCUUCAUCUUUUCUUUCUUAUUAAACAAUUUCUCCUUGAACAGAGUUACAAAAUUAAACAAUUUUUUCCAAUUAAAGACAGUAUUUCUUCCAAUAAAAUGUUGUAGCCAAACCAAACCCACUACAAAGUCACAUGGAUUCCCACUAUGCAGCACGGAAACGGAAACGUGGACAUGGAGAAACGCGGAAACGGACACUGGAAACGGCAUUUUCAAAAAUAU